rnacentral:misc_RNA from 1 species
AAAAAAACCCCUCAGAUAGAGGUGACUACCAGGUCAGAACUGGCAGUUCCAGUUUUAGUUCUGAAUCGAUUCUAGUUUGAUCAGAUCCAACAGUUGAAAUCUUUUUCAAAGUUUUUUUAUUUUUUAAAUAGAAAAAACCUGGUUUUGAGCUGAACAAGAAGAUUCUGGUUCAGUUCAAGGCCAGUUUGGUCAAAGAGAUUUUGACCAAUUUUGGUUCCGGGUUGGACCGGUCCGGUUCCUAACUGACCCCUGGCCAGGUCUUCCCUCAGGGCAACCAACAAAAAUAGAAUUAGAUAACAAAAGCAGCAUGUUCACCACAUUUACAUGGUGACGCAAGGGUGUUCACCUUCAUAUCCACAUACUGAUGGGGAAAAGCACACUAUUAGAACAUAGAUAUAAAAAUCUACUUCAUGGCUCUCAAAAAAAUGCUCAACCUG